rnacentral:lncRNA from 1 species
GGACAUCAACAAAGUCUGCGAGUCUGUCAAAAGCUAUGAUCUUUUUUCUGCAUGUCAUACCGGGCCAUUGAGGACAGUGCACUCCAGAGCUCAGACCUUUAAAAAAGCCUUGACAAUACACCAGACGUCGAAGGAGUGAAGUUCAGGUCAGUGUUCAAUUCACUGAAAUACUUCAACGUUUGUAUGCCAGGCUUGCCACCAUGUCUAGGUCAUGAUAUCUUUGAGGGAGUAAACAGAUUCAAGAAGAUAUUUUACACAUUUCUUUGUUGUCUGUCUCUAAAUCUUAUUUUGUCUUUAUUAUGAUUAAAAAGGUUUGUUUUGUUCCUGCCCUUUUCAGACACUGAAUUUGAGCAGAAACCAUAAGGAUACUCAAAGGACCUGUGACUCAGGAAAUGGUGAGAUUUCAGGUCAUAAUCUUUUUUUCUUUUUUUUUUUCCAUUAAAUUCAUUUUCCUUUUUCCCUUUACAAUAUUGCUGUUUUGUUUUUGUAAACAGCAUCAAAUGAGAGGGACAGAUGAAACAGUUUCAAGACAAUGGCAGGAAAAACAUGCUGAAGAUUGAAACAAACCUUGGCUGGAAAUAUUUGAAGGUAUCUAGCCAGUCCACAAUGAAAGCUUCGUUGCACCCCAUGAGUCUUCUGGCAGAAAUGAUGGCGCCUGUAUUCUUUGGUUUCCCUAAACAUCACACCCUGCCUGUUUAUACGAGGCCCUUCAAUUAAGUCUGCACCCAAAGAUUCAAUAAGAGAGGGGAUCCUGCCAGUCCAAAGUGAACUCCUGAUGGACAUUGAAGUACUCCUGCAGAGCUUGUAUCUUCGACACCAUGCGCAUUAGAAACUCCACUGAGUCCUUUCCUUCACCAAGGCAGGACCCAGUGACUCAUUACUGUUGAUAGGUCAGGGGCAGGUAAUAUUUUGUUUCAUGUUUAUUCAUUCCUCCAUGGAUUACCAGCCAUAUAUAUGGACAAAUGCUGUAUUCUCAAGAUCUAUGCUGUUUUGUAGGAAUAGAGAAAAUGAUAUGUUUAGUCUGUUUUCAAAUGGUAUGUCAAAUUUUCUCAUUGUUUAUCAGUAAUAUUCACUACCUUGGUUAUAUAUGAGCAUCUUUAGAUUUUUCUAUAUUUAGCGGUUGCAAAUGUAAAAUGUACGGUAAACCAUUUAUGUUCCUCAUAUUGUACUGUAUUUUUAGCGGUAAAAUACCGGCAGCUGUGGUUGCCAGGAAUUUACCGUAAAAUGUAUCUGGUCAAAAUAAAAUGCUGUAAUUUCUUAUACAAUUUCACUGUGUUUUUUACUGUCAAAGGUUUUAAUAAGGUUUAACAUAUUUCUGUUAUUUUUACAGUUAUUUACAAUAAUAGGGUCUAUCCUAUUACUGUUAAAUUAACAACAAAUUACUGUAAAUAUUAUUAUAUUAUAACUUUUUUUUACUGCAAAUAUCCGUAAAAAGCUAUGGAAAGUUGCAUUUUUUACAUUAAAUUGCUGUAUAAUUGACAAAUAUAUUUGUUUUUUUCUAUCAUGAUUUUGGUAAAAUAAUACGUUGUCCUUCUUAAAAUUUAGGGUUACAAAACCAGUAUACCGUAUUGUCUUUUACAGAUUCCACAUUUUUUUCACGGUAUAUUCCUGGCAACCACAGCUGCCGGUAUUUUACCGUAAAUUUGACAGUUUUUUUUUUUACAGUGAGGUUUGCAUUCAGUAAAAUCAAAUGCCUCAGCUUGGAUGGGCUGAUGCAGUAUCUGCUUCUUCUUUAAACUGCAGCCAGAUGCUGCUUCGUUUAUGGGGGUCAUAUUUAUGUGUUUUUUGCGAUGCACUCGCACU